rnacentral:sRNA from 1 species
ACAGCUUCACAGGCAGAACACAACACACAGAUGCAAGGUCUCCUGAUGGCAGAAAACCUUAUAACAGACGGGGUUACUCCGUGUUAGCCAGGAUGGUCUCGAUAUCCUGACCUCGUGAUCCACCUGCCUUGGCCUCCCAAAGUGCUGGGAUUCUGUAAUCCCAGUGAGCCACCGCGCCUGGCCCAUAAUCAACCUCAGCUGCCAACGCCAGAAUCAACCUCAGCUGCCAAAUGCUAGACUGAAAAAAGAAUGUAAACAGCUUGAUGGAGGGGAGGAUCCUGGUGCACCUGUGGUUUUGACAGCUUUUGCUGCUGCUUGAGGAGGAAACAGGUUGCCUGUUUGUUCUUCAAGAGCACUUCUGGCAUCCAGGUAUUAUGCAGGCAUGCACUGCCAGCUGUGAAAGAUGCCGCUUCCUUGUCACUUCAGAGAAUGAUGCUUCUACAGAAGAUCCCUCUUGCUAUUUCAUUCAGGGAGCUCGGGAGAGGAAGACAAAAAGAAUCAAAUGCAAAGCACAGAUCAUUGAAAGGGCCAGGGUCUGAAGUGAGACAACUCGUGUCACAGUGUUUUCAAACUUGAGAAUGGUACAGUAAAUUAGAAUGACUUAAUUGUAGUGAUUUUAAAAAGAUAUGAGUCCUCUAAUGGAUGGAUUAAAGAAAAGAAUAGCAAGAAAAUGCACAUAUACCAAAUUUUGACUGCCCGUGUGUUUAUACAGCCAAUGUUCUGUUCUGGUCAAGAAGAAAAGUUCCAAAGAUCUUAAAGAUGUCCCAGAAAAGUUCUAGAGUACUAUCAGAUCUCACACUUUGCCUUGGAAGCUGUCAUUCCCCUCCAUUGGCCCCACAACUGCAGUAUAAUCUUCAGUGACAGGAGAAAAUCGACCUUGUUUGUACAGAAGUCUCAGCAGGAAUAGGCAGAUGCCUGUUUUUGCUGCCAAGGAUGGAGGAUUGGAAUGGGCCCAUUAUAUAUUUUGAGGCUUUGAAGAAAAGUCUCAGGAUAUGUUUUCCCAUUAAAAUACUGUUAUAAACAAUUAGA